AAUAAGAAUGUGAGACAGAAGACAUGGCGGCCUAACCACCCGCAAGCCUUCGUGGGGAGCGUUCGCGAGGCUCCAUUCUUCGUUCAACUUCUUUUCUCUGAAAGUAAUUUUGGAUGAUAUUCCUCAAUGUAGGACAAGGCUUUGCUUUUCGAAGAAAACUGAGAAUACAGCAAAGUUACAAGAAAUUGCUACGGAAGGAAAAGAAGGCUCAAACGUCACUGGAAUCUCAAUUCACAGAUCGAUACCCAGAUAAUCUGAAACAUCUCUAUUUAGCUGAAGAGGAAAGA
rnacentral:sRNA from 1 species